rnacentral:rRNA from 1 species
CGUAGGUGAACCAGCGGAGGGAUCAUUACCGAGUUAUACAACUCAUCAACCCUGUGAACAUACCUAAAACGUUGCCUCGGCGGGAACAGACGGCCCCGUAACACGGGCCGCCCCCGCCAGAGGACCCCCUAACUCUGUUUCUAUAAUGUUUCUUCUGAGUAAACAAGCAAAUAAAUUAAAACUUUCAACAACGGAUCUCUUGGCUCUGGCAUCGAUGAAGAACGCAGCGAAAUGCGAUAAGUAAUGUGAAUUGCAGAAUUCAGUGAAUCAUCGAAUCUUUGAACGCACAUUGCGCCCGCCAGUAUUCUGGCGGGCAUGCCUGUUCGAGCGUCAUUACAACCCUCAGGCCCCCGGGCCUGGCGUUGGGGAUCGGCGGAAGCCCCCUGCGGGCACAACGCCGUCCCCCAAAUACAGUGGCGGUCCCGCCGCAGCUUCCAUUGCGUAGUAGCUAACACCUCGCAACUGGAGAGCGGCGCGGCCACGCCGUAAAACACCCAACUUCUGAAUGUUGACCUCGAAUCAGGUAGGAAUACCCGCUGAACUUAAGCAUAUCAAUAAGCGGAGGAAAAGAAACCAACAGGGAUUGCCCCAGUAACUGC